rnacentral:rRNA from 1 species
CGUUAGGUGGCGAGGCGUUGUCCGGAAUUACUGGGCGUAAAGGGAGCGUAGGCGGUUUUUUAAGUGGGAUGUGAAAUCCCCGGGCUUAACCUGGGAAUGGCAUUCCAAACUGGGAAACUAGAGUGCAGGAGAGGAAAGUGGAAUUCCAAGUGUAGCGGUGAAAUGCGUAGAGAUUUGGAGGAACACCAGUGGCGAAGGCGACUUUCUGGACUGUAACUGACGCUGAGGCUCGAGAGCGUGGGGAGCAAACAGGAUUAGAUACCCUGGUAGUCCACGCUGUAAACGAUGAAUACUAGGUGUUGGGGGCUAAGCCCUCAGUGCCGCAGUUAACACAUUAAGUAUUCCGCCUGGGGAGUACGAUCGCAAGAUUA